AACCUUUACACUGCACGGAAGUGCGAUAGGGGAAUCCCAAGUGCGAGGGCAUAUUAGCCCUCGCUUUUGUUGACUGUAAGGUGGUCAACGAAUAAGAGCUGGGCAAGACCGGUGCCAGCCGCCGCGGUAAUACCGGCAGCUCGAGUGAUGUCCAAUAUUAUUGGGCCUAAAGCGUCCGUAGCUGGCCAGCCAAGUUCGUCGGGAAAUCCACCUGCCCAACAGGUGGGCGUCCGGCGAAAACUGUCUGGCUUGGAACCGGAAGGCUCAGAGGGUACGUCGAGGGUAGGAGUGAAAUCCCGUAAUCCUGGACGGACCGCCGAUGGCGAAAGCACGUCGCGAAUACGGAUCCGACAGUGAGGGACGAAAGCUAGGGUCUCGAACCGGAUUAGAUACCCGGGUAGUCUUAGCCGUAAACAAUGCCUGCUAGGUGUGGCUCCCACUACGAGUGGGUGCUGUGCCGUAGGGAAGCCGCUAAUCAGGCUGCCUGGUAAGUACGUCCGCAAGGAUGAAACUUAA
rnacentral:rRNA from 1 species